GAUGAACGCUGGCGGCGUGCCUAAUACAUGCAAGUCGAGCGAACGGACGAGAAGCUUGCUUCUCUGAUGUUAGCGGCGGACGGGUGAGUAACACGUGGAUAACCUACCUAUAAGACUGGGAUAACUUCGGGAAACCGUAGCUAAUACCGGAUAAUAUUUUGAACCGCAUGGUUCAAAAGUGAAAGACGGUCUUGCUGUCACUUAUAGAUGGAUCCGCGCUGCAUUAGCUAGUUGGUAAGGUAACGGCUUACCAAGGCAACGAUGCAUAGACGACCUGAGAAGGUGAUCGGCCACCCUGGAACUGAGACACGGUCAAGACUCCUACGGGAGGCAGCAGUCGGGCAUCUUCCGCAAUGGGCGAAAGCCUGACGGAACAACGCCGCGUGAGUGAUGAAGGUCUUCGGAUCGUAAAACUCUGUUAUUAGGGAAGAACAUAUGUGUAAGUCACUGUGCACAUCUUGACGGUACCUAAUCAGAAAGCCACGGCUAACUACGUG
rnacentral:rRNA from 1 species